CCUACGGGAGGCAGCAGUGGGGAAUAUUGCACAAUGGGCGCAAGCCUGAUGCAGCCAUGCCGCGUGUAUGAAGAAGGCCUUCGGGUUGUAAAGUACUUUCAGCGGGGAGGAAGGGUUUGAGGUUAAUAACCUCAUUCAUUGACGUUACCCGCAGAAGAAGCACCGGCUAACUCCGUGCCAGCAGCCGCGGUAAU
rnacentral:rRNA from 1 species